rnacentral:rRNA from 1 species
GACGUAGGGCGCGAGCGUUGUCCGGAUUUAUUGGGCGUAAAGAGCUCGUAGGCGGCUUGUCGCGUCGUCCGUGAAAACUUGGGGCUCAACCCCAAGCUUGCGGUCGAUACGGGCAGGCUAGAGUUCGGUAGGGGAGACUGGAAUUCCUGGUGUAGCGGUGAAAUGCGCAGAUAUCAGGAAGAAACACCAAUGGCGAAGGCAGCUCGCUGGGACGGUACUGACGCUGAGACGCGAAAGCGUGGGGAGCAAACAGG